AGUCGCACGAGAAAGGGGCUUCGGCCCUGAGUAAAGUGGCGUACGGGUGAGUAACACGUGACUAACCUACCCUCGAGUGGGGAAUAACCUAGAGAAAUCUGGGCUAAUACCGCAUAACACUUACGAGUCAAAGCAGCAAUGCGCUUGAGGAGGAGGUCGCGGCCGAUUAGCUAGUUGGCGGGGUAAUGGCCCACCAAGGCGAUGAUCGGUAUCCGGCCUGAGAGGGCGCACGGACACACUGGAACUGAAACACGGUCCAGACUCCUACGGGAGGCAGCAGUGGGGAAUUUUGCGCAAUGGGGGAAACCCUGACGCAGCAACGCCGCGUGGAGGAUGAAAUCCCUUGGGAUGUAAACUCCUUUCGAUCGGGAAGAUAAUGACGGUACCGAGAGAAGAAGCCCCGGCUAACUUCGUGCCAGCAGCCGCGGUAAUACGAGGGGGGCAAGCGUUGUUCGGAAUUAUUGGGCGUAAAGGGUGCGUAGGCGGUUUGACAAGUCUUAUGUGAAAUCUCUGGGCUCAACCCAGAGUCUGCAUGGGAAACUGUCGAGCUUGAGUAUGGGAGAGGUGAGUGGAAUUUCCGGUGUAGCGGUGAAAUGCGUAGAUAUCGGAAGGAACACCUGUGGCGAAAGCGGCUCACUGGACCAUUACUGACGCUGAUGCACGAAAGCUAGGGGAGCAAACAGGAUUAGAUACCCUGGUAGUCCUAGCCCUAAACGAUGAUUGUUUGAUGUGGCAGGUACCCAAUCCUGCCGUGUCGAAGCUAACGCGAUAAACAAUCCGCCUGGGGAGUACGGUCGCAAGACUGAAACUCAAAGGAAUUGAC
rnacentral:rRNA from 1 species